GGGGAAUAUUGGACAAUGGGCGAAAGCCUGAUCCAGCCAUGCCGCGUGUGUGAAGAAGGUCUUCGGAUUGUAAAGCACUUUAAGUUGGGAGGAAGGGCAUUAACCUAAUACGUUAGUGUUUUGACGUUACCGACAGAAUAAGCACCGGCUAACUUCGUGCCAGCAGCCGCGGUAAUACGAAGGGUGCAAGCGUUAAUCGGAAUUACUGGGCGUAAAGCGCGCGUAGGUGGUUUGUUAAGUUGAAUGUGAAAGCCCCGGGCUCAACCUGGGAACUGCAUCCAAAACUGGCAAGCUAGAGUAUGGCAGAGGGUGGUGGAAUUUCCUGUGUAGCGGUGAAAUGCGUAGAUAUAGGAAGGAACACCAGUGGCGAAGGCGACCACCUGGGCUAAUACUGACACUGAGGUGCGAAAGUGUGGGGAGCAAAC
rnacentral:rRNA from 1 species